AAUAAAGUAAGCUAAAUUUUUAAGCUAGUGGGUUCAUACCCCAAAUAUGAAUAUAAUCCUUUAUUA
rnacentral:tRNA from 1 species